GCAAGCGUUGUUCGGAUUUACUGGGCGUAAAGGGCGCGUAGGCGGUCGUGACAAGUCACUUGUGAAAUCUCCGGGCUUAACUCGGAACGGUCAGGUGAUACUGCCGUUCUUGAGUCACCUAGGGGCAGCUGGAACAGAUGGUGGAGCGGUGAAAUGCAUAGAUAUCAUCUGGAACGCCAAUGGUGCAGACAAGCUGCCGGGGGUGUACUGACGCUGAGGCACGAAAGCCAGGGGAGCAAACGGG
rnacentral:rRNA from 1 species